GUAAUGUGUAAGAUGGGGAGAGCAUCGACAGACCUAGAGAGGGUACAUCGCCAUGUUGGUUGUCAUCAAACCGUAUCGUGGCCGUGGCUUAGCCACAGAGCUUGUAACAAGAUCAAUAAAAGUGAUGAUGGAAUCUGGCUGUGAAGAGGUAACGUUGGAGGCAG